rnacentral:rRNA from 1 species
ACGGAGGGUGCAAGCGUUAAUCGGAAUUACUGGGCGUAAAGCGCACGUAGGUGGUUUGCUAAGUCAGCUGUGAAAUCCCCGGGCUCAACCUGGGCACUGCAGUUGAAACUGGCAAGCUAGAGUAGGGUAGAGGGGUGUGGGAUUUCAGGUGUAGCGGUGAAAUGCGUAGAUAUCUGAAGGAACAUCAGUGGCGAAAGCGACCUCCUGGACCAAUACUGACGCUCAGGUGCGAAAGCGUGGGGAGCAAACAGGA